rnacentral:RNase_P_RNA from 1 species
ACAAUCGCGGCUGCAGGCGCCGAAAGGCCGCAGACGAGGAAAGUCCGGGCUUCACAGGGCAGGAUGCCGGAUAACGUCCGGUGGAGGUGACUCCAAGGCCAGUGCAACAGAAAUAAACCGCAUGGGCAGAGUGCUUGGCGAAAUAUUUUCAGGCCGAGUGCAGGCAAGAUCCAGACACUUGAGGAGGCAGACCUGAAUCUAGUGCCCGGAUGAUGCCAGGGCAAUACACUUCUAAGAGUAUUUCGCCAAGUGUUCUGCACAUGUAAGGGUGGAAAGGCAGUGUAAGAGACUACCGCCUCGCUGGUAACAGGGAGGGCACAUGUAAACCCCAUCCGAAGCAAGACCGAAUAAAAGCAAUGUGGCUGCCCGUCACGCUUUAGGUAGGUCGCUUGAGCCUGGCGGUGACGCCAGGCCUAGAUAGAUGAUUGUCCAACGACAUAACCCGGCUUACCGUCUUGCUUAA